GACAGAGGGUGCAAACGUUGUUCGGAAUUACUGGGCGUAAAGCGCGUGUAGGCGGCUAAGUAAGUCGGGCGUGAAAUCCCACGGCUCAACCGUGGAAGUGCACUCGAAACUGCAUAGCUAGAGUCCUGGAGAGGAAGGUGGAAUGCUUGGUGUAGAGGUGAAAUUCGUAGAUAUCAAGCGGAACACCGGUGGCGAAGGCGGCUCACUGGCCCGAUACUGACGCUGAGGCACGAAAGCGUGGGGAGCAAACAGGG
rnacentral:rRNA from 1 species